UGGCUCUCGCAUCGAUGAAGAACGCAGCGAAAUGCGAUACGUAAUGUGAAUUGCAGAAUUCAGUGAAUCAUCGAAUCUUUGAACGCACCUUGCGCCCCCUGGUAUUCCGAGGGGCACACCCGUUUGAGUGUCGUGAAAACCUCAACCUCCUUGGUUUCUUCUGGAGACCAAAGCAGGCUUGGACUUUGGAGGCCUUUGCUGGCACCUCUCGCCAGCUCCUCUUAAAUGAAUUAGCAGGGUCCUCUUUGCUGAUCCUCGACGUGUGAUAAGAUGUUUCCAUGUCUUGGUUUCUGGCUCUGUCACCUUUGGGACCCGCUUCUAACCGUCUUCAACCUUGCGUUGAGACAACGUUCGAGCAUGUCUCCCUUCUCGGGAAGCUCCCUCGACCCCACGAACCCUUGACCUCAAAUCGGGUGAGACUACCCGCUGA
rnacentral:misc_RNA from 1 species